GACGAACGCUGGCGGCGUGCUUAACACAUGCAAGUCGAACGAAGUGGCGUACGGGUGAGUAACGCGUAAUCAACCUGCCCUUCAGAGGCGGACAACAGUUGGAAACGACUGCUAAUACCGCAUACUGAAGGAGGGGAUUGCGUCUGAUUCGGGAGUUGGAGGGGUAACGGCCCACCAGGGCGAUGAUCAGUAGGCGGUCGGCGAGGGUGAACGGCCACAUGGGGACGUAGACACGGCCGAGACGUCUACGGGAGGCAGCAGUGGGGAGGCUUCCGCAAUGGACGAAAGUCUGACGGAGCAACGCCGCGUGAGUGAUGAGGGCUUUCGGGUUGUAAAGCUCUGUUAAUCGGGACGCGGUACCUGAAUAGAAAGCCACGGCUAACUACGUGCCAGCAGCCGCGGUAAUUC
rnacentral:rRNA from 1 species